rnacentral:lncRNA from 1 species
UCCAGACCUAGCUCAAGACAACAUAACUUCAGACAUUCAGCUCCAAAUUCAAACAGCAACAAGACUAGUUCAGCCGCAUAUUUUUAUCAGAACCACGAGAGUAACAUCGCAAAACUGAAUAGUAGCCAAAACUGAGGCAUCGAAUCAUCAUGUAAGCAACGAAAUAAAAUAGAGAAAGAAGAAACCGAGUAAUAAAAUCUUCAAAGAGACAAAGGGAAAAUUAUUACACAUUUCAACCUGCUAGAGCACCCAAUGACGAUUACAGCAUUUCGAAUCAAAAGUUCAUACCUGAAAUGUGAAUAGAAAAAAAACCCGAACAUAGACCAAAUCGCCACCGGAACUUCAGCAACUGAACCUCGCUUGAAAUUGAAAAGGGUUUGACCCUGUUUUCGGCUCGUCCCAGAUAUGUUAUCACUAUAUUCACUCAAUUUGUUUCGGGCUGAAGCUCACCAUCUCUGUUUGUACGUGUGUGUAUAUUCAGAAAUGGAGAAGAAGAUGAAGAACGAAGGGUCGUUUCUUGGUGUUAUGCCGCUGAUUUUCUUGGCUGAAGCUUAAGCUAUGGAGGGAGAUGAUAGGGUUGUUCUCUGGUUCUCCAUUGGAGAAGAAGAAGCAGAACGGCGGGCUCCUUUUAGGUCUUACUGCCCCUGCUGUUUCAUUUUCUUUCUACAGCUGCUAGGUUGAGGGUGGAGAUGGAGAUUUGGUGGUGAAGGGAGGUGUUCUGAUAGCUUUCAGGUGGUGAGGGAACGUCAACAGAAAGGUGAGAGGCGUGAGGUUUUAGGGGGUGGUGGGGUGCAAAAAGAUGAAGACGUGGGGAG